UGGGGAGUCGCCAAGUGGUAAGGCAUCGGAUUUUGAUUCCGACAUUCGUAGGUUCGAUCCCUACCUCCCCAG
rfam:Thiobacillus sp. SCN 63-57 ABT23_C0042, whole genome shotgun sequence.